rnacentral:rRNA from 1 species
UUGGAGGGCAAGUCUGGUGCCAGCAGCCGCGGUAAUUCCAGCUCCAAUAGCGUAUAUUAAAGUUGUUGCAGUUAAAAAGCUCGUAGUUGAAUUUCGGGAUAGUACGUCGGUCGUGCCUUAGGUACGUACUGGUGUUACUGGUUCCUACCUUCUGACGAACCAUCAUGUCAUUAAUUUGGUGUGGUGGGGAAUCAGGACNGUUACUUUGAAAAAAUUAGAGUGUUUAAAGCAGGCUCGCGCUUGAAUACAUUAGCAUGGAAUAAUGAAAUAGGACG